GUCUUUUAAUUGAAGUCUGGUAUGAAUGGUUGGAUGAGGAAUUUACUUUCUUUAUUUUAAAAAUUAAAUUUAAUUUUUGAGUUAAAAAGCUUAAGUUUAUUUAAAGGACGAGAAGACCCUAUAGAACUUUACUUUUCUUUUUAUAGGUUUAUUUUUUGUAAGUAAUUUUUUACUAUUUUGGGAAAAGUUUUAUUGGGGUGAUAAAAAAAAAUUUUUAACUUUUUUUAUUUUUCUCAUUUAUUUAUGAUUUUUUGAUCCUUUAUUAUGGAUAAUAAGAUUAAGUUACCUUAGGGAUAACAGCGUUAUUAUUUUAGAGAGUUCAUAUCGAUAAAAUAGUUUGCGACCUCGAUGUUGGAUUAAAAUUAGUGUCAGGUGCAGAAUAUUGAUUACUGGGUCUGUUCGACCCUUAAUUUUUUACA
rnacentral:rRNA from 1 species